ensembl:lncRNA
AAAUAAUAAUCCUAAGGAAAACAAUAGGGCUCUUCGCCCUCCAGGCUUGAGCCCUAAAUAUAGCUGCAAGCAGCGAUGGCGGGCUCAAGCCAUCAGCGCAAACGCCACCCCGGUGGCAUCAGGUAAACUGUGCCCAGCGGGCACAUGCAUUUACAGUAACCCUCUGGCACUCAGGUUUUAAGGGAUACGGCAAUUAACGGGUUAAUCCGAAGCAUCAAGACUUUGAAAUCACAUACACAGAACAAUAUUCAUUAAGAAUGUGAAAUUAAAUGAUUAAUAAACUAUUUAUUCGAACCCUUGCUAUUUUCUAUUCUAAUAAGAGUCUUGGCUGUGGAACACCUGUAAUAGAGUUGGCUAGCUGGAUGCAAA